AUACGGAGGGUGCAAGCGUUAAUCGGAAUUGCUGGGCGUAAAGAGUACGUAGGUGGUUUGUUAAGUCAGAUGUGAAAGCCCAGGGCUCAACCUUGGAACUGCAUUUGAAACUGGCAAACUAGAGUAUGGUAGAGGGGGGUAGAAUUUCUAGUGUAGCGGUGAAAUGCGUAGAUAUUAGAAGGAAUACCAGUGGCGAAGGCGGCCCCCUGGACCAAUACUGACACUGAGGUACGAAAGCGUGGGUAGCGAACAGGAUUAGAAACCCUAGUAGUCC
rnacentral:rRNA from 1 species